rnacentral:rRNA from 1 species
UACGGAGGGUGCGAGCGUUGUCCGGAAUCAUUGGGCGUAAAGGGCGCGUAGGUGGCCCGGUCAGUUCGUGGUGAAAGCGCGGGGCUCAACCCUGCGUCGGCCAUGAAUACUGCCGCGGCUGGAGCACUGUAGAGGCAGGCGGAAUUCCGGGUGUAGCGGUGGAAUGCGUAGAGAUCCGGAAGAACACCGGUGGCGAAGGCGGCUUGCUGGGCAGUUGCUGACACUGAGGCGCGACAGCGUGGGGAGCAAACAGG